rnacentral:rRNA from 1 species
UACGUAGUGUGCGAGCGAUGUCCGAAUUCACUGGGCGUAACGCGCGCGUAGGCGGACUUUUAUGUUGGGGGUGAAAUGCCGAGUCUCAACCUCGGAACUGCCUCCAAAACUGGGAGUCUUGAGGUAUGGAGAGGGAAGUGGAAUUCCAGGUGUAGCGGUGAUAUGCGUAGAUAUCUGGAGGCACACCCGUGGCGAAGGCGGCUUCCUGGGCAUAUCCUGACGCUUAGGUGCGAAAGCCAGGGGAGCGAACGGG